AUUGAACGCUGGCGGCAGGCCUAACACAUGCAAGUCGCACGAGUGGCGGACGGGUGAGUAAUGUCUGGGAAACUGCCUGAUGGCGGGGGAUCACUACUGGAAAAGGUCGCUACUACCGCAUAACAUCGGAUGUACCUAGAUGGGAUUAGCAAGUCGGUGGGGUAAAGGCUCAACUAGGCGACGAUCCCUAGCUGGUCUGAGGGUAGGACCAGCCACACUGGAACUGAGACACGGUCCAUACUCCUACGGGAGGCAGCAGUGGGGAAUAUUGCACAAUGGGCGCAAGCCUGAUGCAGCCAUGCCGCGUGUAUGAAGAAGGCCUUCGGGUUGUAAAGUACUUUCAGCUGGGAGGCGUUACCCGCAGAAGAAGCACCGGCUAACUCCGUGCCAGCAGCCGCGGUAAUAC
rnacentral:rRNA from 1 species